GGCGCGAUGGUGGACGCCGCUGUCUUUCUCUGAUCCGGGGGUGAGUGAGGGAGGUGCGUCACUCGGGAGAGAGCACACUAGCACUCUCUCAUCACCCAAGCGCCUCCACCGCUACCGUCACGCCACGGGCCUCCUGCAAUCUGCCCUCGUCAGUUCUGUUCAAGGGGGAUCUGGCCGUUGACUGCUAGUGCUUCCCCUCCCUAGGUGAUCAUCCAUAAGGCCCAUAACUUGUGGUAGUACUUCUAUCCAGCAAGGAGCGCUUUGGUUGGGAGCUCGAGCUCGAGCAGAACGUCGAAUUAGCUCAUGGUGGAAGAGGUUAAUCUUACUCGUAUGAUCGCCCAAGCAGCAUUAGCAAUGGACGCCAUGGAGGCAUUUCUAGGUGCUCUGAGUACCAAGGGCGCAAACAUAAGGAUUGUCCUCACAAUGAACCAUGAAGCCAGCGAUCCGCUUCAACUGGAUGUCUCAUACUUCCAUUUUUUGUCUGUCCUUCUGUAAAUCUGGUGUAUGGUGUCUUGGUGCUUAGAACAGGCUGAAGUGUAUGUAUGUGACAAUUAGUUAAUGGAAUAAAAACUGUGUGGUGCACCUGAUGUAUGUUGCCUUGGUGAUUAUGCUUUAGAACACAUGAACUAUAUGUACGCAACAAUUAGUACCAUAUGUUAACUACGGUUGUGGUUUCCCAACCAAAAUGUUGAUCAA